rnacentral:rRNA from 1 species
UCGGAUCGCAGGCUGCAACCCGCCUGCGUGAAGUUGGAAUCGCUAGUAAUCGCGGAUCAGCAUGCCGCGGUGAAUACGUUCCCGGGCCUUGUACACACCGCCGUCACACCAUGAGAGUCGGGAACACCCGAAGUCCGUAGCCUAACUGCAAAGGGGGCGCGGCCGAAGGUGGGUUCGAUAAUUGGGGUGAAGUCGUAACAAGGUAAC